GAAUGAAGAAGCUAUUUGGAGCAGGGAUUCGAUGAUGUUGUCCUACUAUCAAGACUGUAUGCUUGUUUGUUUCCUUCUACGUUACUUAUUUGUGUAUUUGCAUCUACGCAAUAAUUUAUCUUUCCAAAAGAAUUUAGAACAAAUGAUGUGGUCAUGUAAAUAGUAUGAAGGCGUUGUCCGUAGGCAGUAGCUCAGCAUGAAAAUGUUGUCACUGAUCCAUAUACGGAGAUGGCACAGGGAGACGAUUGUCAAGAAUCUACAGACAAAUUUACAUGGUUCAUCGGAAGUCAUAAAGGACUGAAUCCACAGCUAGGUUCUCCUUCAACGUGAAGGCUGCAUCCUCUUCGAGGCAAAAAAGCGAAUCCAAAAGACAUCUACUUGGUCAUUGUGGCUACAACUUCACGGCAUUCUUCACUUUCUGUUCUUCCAUCUUUGUGGAGCCUCCCCGGUCAUAUAUGGGGAGUUAUUUUCAUGCAUUAAAACUUUAGCAGUACGGUGCGCGAGAGCCUGUGUGUAUACAGAAGAUGGAGCUCAAUUGGAUGUUGCAUGACCUCUAGUUUGAUGUGUGUUCAGAUUGUUCCUUGUUAUAUUUGAUCAGAAUAAUAUUUUUUAUUAGAAACUUUUGCA